GGGUUGUGAGGUUAAGCGACUAAGCGUACACGGUGGAUGCCCUGGCAGUCAGAGGCGAUGAAGGACGUGCUAAUCUGCGAAAAGCGUCGGUAAGGUGAUAUGAACCGUUAUAGCCGGCGAUGUCCGAAUGGGGAAACCCAGUGCAAUUCGUUGCACUAUCGUUUGAUGAAUACAUAGUCAAACGAGGCGAACCGGGGGAACUGAAACAUCUAAGUACCCCGAGGAAAAGAAAUCAACCGAGAUUCCCCAGUAGCGGCGAGCGAACGGGGAGCAGCCCGGAGUCUGAAUCAGCUUGUGUGUUAGUGGAAGCGUCUGGAAAGUCGCAGGGUACAGGGUGAUACUCCCGUACACUAAAACACACAGGCUGUGAACUCGAAGAGUAGGGCGGGACACGUGGUAUCCUGUCUGAAUAUGGGGGGACCAUCCUCCAAGGCUAAAUACUCCUGACUGACCGAUAGUGAACCAGUACCGUGAGGGAAAGGCGAAAAGAACCCCGGCGAGGGGAGUGAAAAAGAACCUGAAACCGUGUACGUACAAGCAGUAGGAGCCUCUUUAUGGGGUGACUGCGUACCUUUUGUAUAAUGGGUCAGCGACUUAUAUUCUGUAGCAAGGUUAACCGUAUAGGGGAGCCGCAGGGAAACCGAGUCUUAACUGGGCGUUAAGUUGCAGGGUAUAGACCCGAAACCCGGUGAUCUAGCCAUGGGCAGGUUGAAGGUUGGGUAACACUAACUGGAGGACCGAACCGACUAAUGUUGAAAAAUUAGCGGAUGACUUGUGGCUGGGGGUGAAAGGCCAAUCAAACCGGGAGAUAGCUGGUUCUCCCCGAAAGCUAUUUAGGUAGCGCCUCGUGAACUCAUCUUCGGGGUAGAGCACUGUUUCGGCUAGGGGGUCAUCCCGACUUACCAACCCGAUGCAAACUACGAAUACCGAAGAAUGUUAUCACGGGAGACACACGGCGGGUGCUAACGUCCGUCGUGAAGAGGGAAACAACCCAGACCGCCAGCUAAGGUCCCAAAGUCAUGGUUAAGUGGGAAACGAUGUGGGAAGGCCCAGACAGCCAGGAUGUUGGCUUAGAAGCAGCCAUCAUUUAAAGAAAGCGUAAUAGCUCACUGGUCGAGUCGGCCUGCGCGGAAGAUGUAACGGGGCUAAACCAUGCACCGAAGCUGCGGCAGCGACACUAUGUGUUGUUGGGUAGGGGAGCGUUCUGUAAGCCGUUGAAGGUGGCCUGUGAGGGUUGCUGGAGGUAUCAGAAGUGCGAAUGCUGACAUAAGUAACGAUAAUGCGGGUGAAAAACCCGCACGCCGGAAGACCAAGGGUUCCUGUCCAACGUUAAUCGGGGCAGGGUGAGUCGACCCCUAAGGCGAGGCCGAAAGGCGUAGUCGAUGGGAAACAGGUUAAUAUUCCUGUACUCGGUGUUACUGCGAAGGGGGACGGAGAAGGCUAUGUUGGCCGGGCGACGGUUGUCCCGGUUUAAGCAUGUAGGCGGAUGUUCCAGGUAAAUCCGGAACGUUAUCAACGCUGAGGUGUGAUGACGAGGCACUACGGUGCUGAAGUGACAAAUGCCCUGCUUCCAGGAAAAGCCUCUAAGCAUCAGGUAACAUCAAAUCGUACCCCAAACCGACACAGGUGGUCAGGUAGAGAAUACCAAGGCGCUUGAGAGAACUCGGGUGAAGGAACUAGGCAAAAUGGUGCCGUAACUUCGGGAGAAGGCACGCUGAUGGUAAGUGAAGUGACUUGCUCAUGGAGCUGAAAUCAGUCGAAGAUACCAGCUGGCUGCAACUGUUUAUUAAAAACACAGCACUGUGCAAACACGAAAGUGGACGUAUACGGUGUGACGCCUGCCCGGUGCCGGAAGGUUAAUUGAUGGGGUUAUCCGUAAGGAGAAGCUCUUGAUCGAAGCCCCGGUAAACGGCGGCCGUAACUAUAACGGUCCUAAGGUAGCGAAAUUCCUUGUCGGGUAAGUUCCGACCUGCACGAAUGGCGUAAUGAUGGCCAGGCUGUCUCCACCCGAGACUCAGUGAAAUUGAACUCGCUGUGAAGAUGCAGUGUACCCGCGGCAAGACGGAAAGACCCCGUGAACCUUUACUAUAGCUUGACACUGAACACUGGUCCUUGAUGUGUAGGAUAGGUGGGAGGCUUUGAAGUGUGGACGCCAGUCUGCAUGGAGCCAUCCUUGAAAUACCACCCUUUAAUGGCUGGUGUUCUAACGUGGGCCCGUUAUCCGGGUUGCGGACAGUGUCUGGUGGGUAGUUUGACUGGGGCGGUCUCCUCCUAAAGAGUAACGGAGGAGCACGAAGGUCAGCUAAUCCUGGUCGGACAUCAGGAGGUUAGUGCAAUGGCAUAAGCUGGCUUGACUGCGAGCGUGACGGCGCGAGCAGGUGCGAAAGCAGGUCAUAGUGAUCCGGUGGUUCUGAAUGGAAGGGCCAUCGCUCAACGGAUAAAAGGUACUCCGGGGAUAACAGGCUGAUACCGCCCAAGAGUUCAUAUCGACGGCGGUGUUUGGCACCUCGAUGUCGGCUCAUCACAUCCUGGGGCUGAAGUAGGUCCCAAGGGUAUGGCUGUUCGCCAUUUAAAGUGGUACGCGAGCUGGGUUUAGAACGUCGUGAGACAGUUCGGUCCCUAUCUGCCGUGGGCGCUGGAGAAUUGAGGGGGCUGCUCCUAGUACGAGAGGACCGGAGUGGACGCAUCACUGGUGUUCGGGUUGUCAUGCCAAUGGCAUUGCCCGGUAGCUAAAUGCGGAAGAGAUAAGUGCUGAAAGCAUCUAAGCACGAAACUUGCCCCGAGAUGAGUUCUCCCUGACCCUUUAAGGGUCCUGAAGGAACGUUGAAGACGACGACGUUGAUAGGCCGGGUGUGUAAGCGCAGCGAUGCGUUGAGCUAACCGGUACUAAUGAACCGUGAGGCUUAACCUUACAACGCCGAAG
rnacentral:rRNA from 1 species